rnacentral:lncRNA from 1 species
GUUUGAGAAGUUCAGAAGAAAGCAAUGAUCAGAGCAAUUGAGAUUGUUAUUCAUUUACUGACAAAGACUAUACAAAGGAAAUUAUGAUAUGUGUAGAUAUAGUAAUGACUGAUUCAGAAAAAGUAAAGUCAAAAUUUCUUUUAGGCUGUCUCACAACUAAAGAAACAAAAGAUGCUAAUUAAAAAGACAACAAUAUAUCACUGAAAUUCAAAAGUUGGCAAGAUCCAAAAAGGUUUCAAGUGAAUAUUUAAAUUGUGUAUGUAUUUUUUCUGUUCCUGUUUUUUUUUUUUUUUUCUUUAGAUCAUCUCAUCUCACCCGUGUCCAUGACUGCACAAAUAUCAGAUUUCCUUUGGUGUGCAACUUUCAGAGCAGAUUCUUUCAGAAGGAUCCUACAAACAUUGUGUUCCUUCAUCCAGCAAGUUUUCCAACAAAGGAAAAGAAAAUAUUACGAUCAGUCUGCUGAAAAUUAAGUACAUUGUGUGCUACCGAGUCAGCUGUUUUGCCUCCAGGCCGUCCAUCUUUCAGCUGGCAUCGAUUUCACAGAGAGCUGC